rnacentral:rRNA from 1 species
GAUGAACGCUAGCGGGAGGCCUAGCACAUGCAAGCCGAGCGGUAUUGUUUCUUCGGAAAUGAGAGAGCGGCGUACGGGUGCGGAACACGUGUGCAACCUGCCUUUAUCUGGGGGAUAGCCUUUCGAAAGGAAGAUUAAUACUCCAUAAUAUAUUGAACGGCAUCGUUUAAUAUUGAAAGCUCCGGCGGAUAGAGAUGGGCACGCGCAAGAUUAGCUAGUUGGUGAGGUAACGGCUCACCAAGGCGAUGAUCUUUAGGGGGCCUGAGAGGGUGAUCCCCCACACUGGUACUGAGACACGGACCAGACUCCUACGGGAGGCAGCAGUGAGGAAUAUUGGUCAAUGGGUGCAAGCCUGAACCAGCCAUCCCGCGUGAAGGACGACUGCCCUAUGGGUUGUAAACUUCUUUUGUAUAGGGAUAAACCUACCCUCGUGAGGGUAGCUGAAGGUACUAUACGAAUAAGCACCGGCUAACUCCGUGCCAGCAGCCGCGGUAAUACGGAGGGUGCAAGCGUUAUCCGGAUUUAUUGGGUUUAAAGGGUCCGUAGGCGGACUUAUAAGUCAGUGGUGAAAGCCUGUCGCUUAACGAUAGAACUGCCAUUGAUACUGUAAGUCUUGAGUAUAUUUGAGGUAGCUGGAAUAAGUAGUGUAGCGGUGAAAUGCAUAGAUAUUACUUAGAACACCAAUUGCGAAGGCAGGUUACCAAGAUAUAACUGACGCUGAGGGACGAAAGCGUGGGGAGCGAACAGGAUUAGAUACCCUGGUAGUCCACGCCGUAAACGAUGCUAACUCGUUUUUGGGCUUUAGGAUUCAGAGACCAAGCGAAAGUGAUAAGUUAGCCACCUGGGGAGUACGCUCGCAAGGGUGAAACUCAAAGGAAUUGACGGGGGCCCGCACAAGCGGUGGAUUAUGUGGUUUAAUUCGAUGAUACGCGAGGAACCUUACCAAGACUUAAAUGGGAAUUGACAGCUUUAGAAAUAGAGCUUUCUUCGGACAAUUUUCAAGGUGCUGCAUGGUUGUCGUCAGCUCGUGCCGUGAGGUGUUAGGUUAAGUCCUGCAACGAGCGCAACCCCUGUCACUAGUUGCCAUCAUUCAGUUGGGGACUCUAGUGAGACUGCCUACGCAAGUAGAGAGGAAGGUGGGGAUGACGUCAAAUCAUCACGGCCCUUACGUCUUGGGCCACACACGUAAUACAAUGGCCGGUACAGAGGGCAGCUACACAGCGAUGUGAUGCAAAUCUCGAAAGCCGGUCUCAGUUCGGAUUGGAGUCUGCAACUCGACUCUAUGAAGCUGGAAUCGCUAGUAAUCGCGCAUCAGCCAUGGCGCGGUGAAUACGUUCCCGGGCCU